GGCAGGGUGGUGUAGUGGUUAGAAUGUUGGACUAGGACUUGGGAGAGACAGGGGUUCAAAUCCCCACUUGGGCUG